UUAAUAUAAUUUUCUGGUAGUACUAGAAAUGAUUUUCAUGCCAUUUCAACUCCAAUCAUUGCAACUUUAAGCUUGAUGCUUCAAUGGCGGCAAUCGAUGCCAAGCACAUGUUCGCCUUCGUGCCAUUUUCCUUCUCGAUUCUGUUUCUUCAGACGCUACUUAAUCAAGUUCAGUUCAACCCUAUCCCUUCGUCUCUAAACUCUCGCUUCAACGAUUCCAGCUUCUUCGGCUGCUUCUUUGAAAGCUAGGAUCGAGCCAUCGGUUUGUAUUCUCUGUUCUCUUGCUUCCUCAAUCAAUGAAGUUAUAGGAUUGAAUCUGUCGUUGGUAACUCCUCUGCUUGGUGUUUGAGAGAAUCGCAAAGAACGGAGAGGAUGAAUCCUGCAGAAUAAAUGCUGAAUGAAAUGGCCAAUGGUGUGUAUUGCACCGUUAUAUAUGUUUUUGAGUGAUUUAACCAUGUCAAUUCCAAAUUUCUUUCGGAAGGGAGUCCAUUGGUGGAUAUCAAUUGGAAUGUGGCACAUGUGUACAUAGUCUUUCACUGGCAGUGACUCAUUUUGACUUGACGAUAGGCAGGGGAACUAACAAGGGCGAAUCCAUGCCUGCUGUCACGGAGAUUUUUAGGACUAGAUUGGUGCCUUUAUGAGAGGGGCUGGCGUAGAGGUUUGUCAGUAUUGCUUGGUUUUCCUGGCCGAAAAGGAGUUUGAGUUGAUAAAAGAUUUCAGGCACCAGUCUUAGGUGGAAACGUAAUUGAUGCAAGUUGUGAAAGUGGAAUGUUUUCAGGAAUCGUGCUGCUGCCAAGAGUGAGUUAUUUUCCUCUAUUGUUGCUUUGGGCUACUCGGAGAACAUGUUAAAGCAGUUAUAUGAAUCAUUAAACAAGAGGAAAACUUCCCUCAGAGAAAAAGUAUUUGUGUUAUCUAAACAUGACCUUGUAGAUGUCUGUCUAGGAGGUCCAGGUCCAAGUUGUGAUUCUUGUGAUUCAUGUCAGCCUAAGGACGGGUUUCUUUCAUGUCAUUUUUUGUUAUUCAACUCAUGUCAUUUUGAGUUUAGUUAUUCCAGCCUUGUCCAGCACUUAACUUUGUGUUAUUGAGAACAAGAAGAUAAGAGGGUACGCUAGAAGGAGGGGUUGAACCUCCGACCUUGUGGUUAACAGCCACACGCUCUAACCAACUGAGCUAUUCCAGCCCGUUAGUGGUGCUUAAUGUAUUUCAGCACUUAACUUUGUGUUA